AAACUAAGGAAGUCUCCCACGAGGUCGUGGUAAUCCUCCCUGCGAAAGAUGUAGUGGGCAGAGAUCUGCCUAGCCCACCCUCGCCACUCGGAGGGCAACAGUAGGAUCAACCUCAUAAUACCGUCAUAUCCUGACACUCCGUGUGCACUCGCCUCGACCCAGUGUCGGUGAAAACCUGCGAGGAACUGUCCGAGGUUAUCCCCGUGACAUGGGGCAUAGGUGCGGUAGGCCCGCUCGACCUCCUCUGGACUCGCCCAAGGGGGCAAUGGUCGUCGUCGGGUGAAAACAGUCCUCGCCAUCUAACAAAAGAAGUUCUAUCGUCAAAUUAAAGUAAAACGUGACAUGUAACUUAAAGCGAUAAGGUUCUAAAUAUCUAUAAUCGGAAAACAAAGUUCGGUUCGAUAAACAAAACGUAUAAAAAUCACAACAUCAUCUAAAUCUAGUAUUUAUGCACAAGCCAUACAGGUUCUUA
rnacentral:lncRNA from 1 species